rnacentral:lncRNA from 1 species
GAAAGUACAGCCCCUCCCCCCUCCCUCCCACGGUGCCAAGUGCUGGCCCCUAACAGCAUUUCUGGGGGAGACCGGCUGGUGAAUCCAUGCAAAAUCAGAAAGGACAGGCCAGUGUGGGGACGCGUCUCCAGCCUCCUCGGAUUUAGGAUGCCCCAUUGUCAGGAAGGAGCCUGAGAUGGUCAAACCCCCUCUCACCUGAUGGCUUAUGUCACCAACAUGACGCUCUUAACAAGAGGGCUCACCCCUGCUUGCACACCUCCAGGUUGGGGA